GAGUCCGCGUUCCAUUAGCUAGUUGGUAGGGUAAUGGCCUACCAAGGCAACGAUGAGUAGCUGGUCUGAGAGGAUGAUCAGCCACACUGGAACUGAAACACGGUCCAGACUCCUACGGGAGGCAGCAGUGGGGAAUAUUGCGCAAUGGGCGAAAGCCUGACGCAGCAACGCCGUGUGAGGGAUGAAGGCUUUCGGGUCGUAAACCUCUGUCGGAAGGGAAGAACGGGCAUUGGUCUAAUAGGCCUUUGUUUUGACGGUACCUUUAGAGGAAGCACCGGCUAACUCCGUGCCAGCAGCCGCGGUAAUACGGAGGGUGCAAGCGUUAUUCGGAAUUACUGGGCGUAAAGCGCACGUAGGCCGCUUUGUAAGUCAGGGGUGAAAUCCCACGGCUCAACCGUGGAACUGCCUUUGAAACUGCAGAGCUUGAAUCCUGGAGAGGGUGGCGGAAUUCCUGGUGUAGGAGUGAAAUCCGUAGAUAUCAGGAGGAACACCGGUGGCGAAGGCGGCCACCUGGACAGGCAUUGACGCUGAGGUGCGAAAGUGUGGGGAGCAAACAGGAUUAGAUACCCUGGUAGUCCACACCGUAAACGAUGAACACUAGAUGCCGGGG
rnacentral:rRNA from 1 species